CACGCACACACGCGCGGCAUAUCAAUAAGCGGAGGAAAAGAAACUAACAAGGAUUCCCCUAGUAACGGCGAGUGAAGCGGGAAGAGCUCAAAUUUGAAAUCUUCAAGGUUCUACCUUGACGAAUUGUAGUUUAUAGAAGUGUUUUCUGUUAGUGGAGUGGCAAAAGUUCUUUGGAAUAGGACAUCAUAGAGGGUGAGAAUCCCGUAUUUGGUCAUUCCUCCUAGCGUUGUGAUACACUUUCAACGAGUCGGAUUGUUUGGGAAUGCAGUCCAAAAUGGGUGGUAAAUUUCAUCUAAAGCUAAAUAUUGGCGAGAGACCGAUAGCGAACAAGUACCGUGAGGGAAAGAUGAAAAGAACUUUGAAAAGAGAGUUAAACAGUACGUGAAAUUGUCAAAAGGGAAGCGUUUGACACCAGUGUUGUUUUUCCGGAAAUCAAUUACGAAUGUUUUAUUUUUGAGGAGUUAUGACUUCAUCGGCUUGCUCCUUUCUUUAUGAAACUUUCUUAAUGCACUUUUCGGUUAACAAGUCAACAUCAAUUUCUUUUGUUGUAAAAGGGUAUGAGGAAGGUGGCUUUCUUUUCGGAGAAAGUGUUUAUAGCCUUGUGCCUCUACAAUCGGAGAGAUUGAGGUCUGCAGCGUAGAUCCUUCGGGGUUAGAUACGUUUGUGCUAAGUUAUAGCUUUUCAUAGACAACUUGUUGACUAUGUUUAGUCUUGUAGCUUACUCGCUGAUGCUAUUUUACCUACGCUUAGGAUGUUGAAGAUAUGCGCGACACG
rnacentral:rRNA from 1 species